UGACGUACCUGGCAGGGAAAAUACCGUGAUCAAGAAGGCGGUUCAGCCAGAGUGAGGUUCAGCCAUUGCACUCUGGCUGUGCUGACUCCGGCGAAUUCCCCAAAUGUGUGAAUCUCAACUGUUUUAGGGCAGUGGUGGCCUAAUGGGGGGCAGAUAAGGAAGCGGCACUGU
ensembl:snRNA U1 U1 spliceosomal RNA